rnacentral:snRNA from 1 species
UAAUCCAUUCUGCGACAUCUGUCACCCCAUUGAUCGCCAGGGUUGAUUCGGCUGAUCUGGCUGGCUAGGCGGGUGUCCCCUUCCUCCCUCACCGCUCCAUGUGCGUCCAUCCCGAAGCUGCGCCCUCGGUCGAAGAGGACGACCUUCCCCGAUAGAGGAGGACCGUUCUUCGGUCAAGGGUAUACGAGUAGCCCUGCUAGAACCUCCAAACAAGCUCUCAAGGUCUGGCCAUGCUCUUUUGGCUUUGAAUUGCUUUGGAUAUUUAAGGUUUUGGAUUAACCAAAUGCAUUUU